AUUUAAAUAGKUUAAUAAAAAUUUUAAUUUGUGGAAUUAAAGAUAUAAUAGAUUUAUUUUAAAUA
rnacentral:tRNA from 1 species